rnacentral:rRNA from 1 species
GAGUUUGAUCCUGGCUCAGGACGAACGCUGGCGGCGGGCUUAACACAUGCAAGUCGAAGGAGAAGGUAAGUGCUUGCACUUACUGGAGACUGGCGGACGGGUGAGUAACGCGUAGAUAACCUGCCUAUAUCUGGGGGAUAACAUCUCGAAAGGGGUGCUAAUACCGCAUAAUGCAGCGGGGCCGCAUGGCCACAGUUGUUAAAGGUUUCGGCCGGAUAUAGAGGGGUCUGCGUACUAUUAGUUAGUUGGUAAGGUAACGGCUUACCAAGGCGAUGAUAGUUAGGGGGUCUGAGAGGAUGAUCCCCCACACUGGGACUGAGACACGGCCCAGACUCCUACGGGAGGCAGCAGUGAGGAAUCUUGCGCAAUGGGCGAAAGCCUGACGCAGCCACGCCGCGUGCCGGAAGACGGCCCUAUGGGUUGUAAACGGCUUUUGGAAGGGAAGAACGUACGGGUUUCGACUUGUAGUGACGGUACCUUCUGAAUAAGCACCGGCUAACUCCGUGCCAGCAGCCGCGGUAAUACGGAGGGUGCAAGCGUUGUCCGGAAUCAUUGGGUGUAAAGGGUGCGUAGGUGGGAGCCUAAGUCUGUGGUGAAAUCUUGCCGCUUAACGGUAAAAUUGCCAUGGAUACUGGGUUUCUUGAGUACAGAAGAGGUCGGUGGAAUUCGUAGUGGAGCGGUGAAAUGCAUAGAUAUUACGAAGAACAUCAGUGGCGAAGGCGGCCGGCUGGACUGUAACUGACACUGAGGCACGAAAGCGUGGGGAGCGAACAGGAUUAGAUACCCUGGUAGUCCACGCUGUAAACGAUGCAUACUAGGUGUUGGCCCUUUGGGGCCAGUGCUGCAGUUAACGCAGUAAGUAUGCCACCUGGGGAGUACGUCGGCAACGAUGAAACUCAAAGGAAUUGACUGGA